CGACUAUAUAUACGGUGGUUACUUAAAGUUUUGCACACGCAUUCGCAGCCACAUUGAGCCUCCGAUCGUUUACGGACCCAAGACACUCAGUUCGCACUACAAGAGUCGACAUUCCGGCCGAAGACAAAAUGACAGGACUUAAGGUAAAAUCAUGGUAUUAUUAUUAUUACGAUUCGUAUAAAAGUCUAUAACUUAAACACGAGGGCAAUUUUUUUAUUACUAUUUUUUUUUUGAAAAAUAAUUUUCAUCCACAAAAUUGUUCUACUUUUCGAAUGUCAACGAUACUGUGUACCACAGUCGAGUUCGAUUUUUCCUCUUUUUAACUUAAUUGAAUAUUAUCAUUAAAAUCAUUCGACUUACGAGUUUUUUUUUCGAGUUCAAAUCGAAUAAGAUAUUUUUUACUAACUAGUAUUCUCUAUUUUUCAGACCGUAGGAUUGCUGUGCGUGGCUUUCGCUUGCUUGGCACGAGCCGCCGAGGAACCGUCGGCACCGGCCCAAUACGAAUUCGCUUACGCCGUAAACGAUCCCACCACCGGCGACCAAAAGGACCAACAGGAAUCGAGAAACGGCGACGACGUCAUCGGUUAUUACCGCACCCUGGACGCGGACGGUUUCGUGCGAACGGUCAAGUACAAGUCGGACGCCGUUAACGGAUUCACCGCCGAAGUCGUCCGCGAGCCCGUGAACGGCGCCGCUGUUCCUGCACCGGCCGUCGUUAAGGCCGUGCCCAAGCCAGUCGCCGUCCCAGCGGUCGCGCCUGUGGUCGCCCCGGCACCCGUAAUCGUCCGCGCACCGNCGGCUAUCGCGCCUUACUACUUCGGAUCGUCCGCGGGUUACCCGUACAACUACCAACCGUACUCGUACGGUUACCAGGGUUACCAAGGAUACCAGGGAUACCCGGGAUACUCGGGAUACCAAGGAUACCCAGGAUACCAGGCAUAUCCCUACACACCGUACUCGUACGGCCAAUACCCGUUCAGCGCCCCGUACAAAUAUACGGCUCCGGUCGUCAGAAAGUAGAUGUCAAAACGAAUUCAUUUCAACGUUCCUUUGCGAGUGUACAUAUGAGACGUCUUGUGGAAUCUUUUCGAUUUAGUCCGGAAUGAGUACGGACAAACAUUUCUUCAACCAUGAUUUACCUAUUAAUCAUAAUAUGAAUUUCUCGAUGUGAUCAAAAUAUUUUAUUACUGUAUUUUAAAUAUGUGUAUUUUAUAACGAAAAUUCAAUUAUAAUAUUCUUGUUUCCUAUUCUAUACGCCUGUGUAUUUAUUUAUUUUUCUGUUAUACGAACGUCAAAUGUUAUAUUGCAUUCAGUUAUUUUGACUUCACUCCAUCUAUUUUGAUGAGACACUCGGUGUGAAGAAUUAUUUCACACUCAACUUGUGUAAUUUUUAAAUAACGAAAUAAGUGGGCAUUUU